rnacentral:tRNA from 178 species
GCCCAGGUAGCUCAGUCGGUAGAGCAGGGGAUUGAAAAUCCCCGUGUCGGCGGUUCGAUUCCGUCCCUGGGCACCA